rnacentral:rRNA from 1 species
UACGUAGGGCGCAAGCGUUGUCCGGAAUUAUUGGGCGUAAAGAGCUCGUAGGCGGUCUGUUGCGUCCGCUGUGAAAACUCGGGGCUUAACCCCGAGCCUGCAGUGGAUACGGGCGGACUAGAGGUAGGUAGGGGAGAAUGGAAUUCCCGGUGUAGCGGUGAAAUGCGCAGAUAUCGGGAAGAACACCCGUGGCGAAGGCGGUUCUCUGGGACGGUACUGACGCUGAGACGCGAAAGCGUGGGGAGCGAACAGG